AAUGAACGUUGGCGGCGUGGAUUAGGCAUGCAAGUCGCACGAGAAUCGUAGCAAUACGAGGACAGUGGCGGAAGGGAGAGGAAUAGGUAGAAAUCUACCCUCGGGACGGGGAUAGCGGCGGGAAACUGCCGGUAAUACCCGAUAACAUCUUCGGAUCAAAGGUGUGAUUCCGCCUGGGGAUGAGUCUACUUCCUAUUAGCUUGUUGGCGGGGUAAUGGCCCACCAAGGCAACGAUGGGUAGCGGGUGUGAGAGCAUGACCCGCCUCACUGGGACUGAGAACUGCCCAGACACCUACGGGUGGCUGCAGUCGAGAAUCUUCGGCAAUGGGCGCAAGCCUGACCGAGCGACGCCGCGUGCGGGAUGAAGGCC
rnacentral:rRNA from 1 species